UUUGUAUAAGAUGAAGAUUAGCUGUCCUUUGAAGUUUUAUUAAACAAACCUCUAAAAAUAUCAGAGUGAACUUCCACUUGGUCAGGAUGGUGUCCAGAUACCCAGGACAAAUUUCCCAGUAAAACAGCUAUGUGGACAUUCAGAGGAAGCAAGAAACCAGAUUGCUCCCUCAGGGCAUCUCCAAACCUGAGAGAGAGAGCAGGAGUAGAAGGGCAGAGGAAGAGUGAGAAACAGACUCCCUGCUGCAGAGCUCAAUCCCAGGACCUGGGGACCACAACCCAAGCUGAAGAGGCAGACAACAGGAAGAGCUCCAGUUUGAGCGGGACCACGGACACACACCUGCACAGAUAGACCUUGGAAUGUACAACAGGUUUAAAAUUCUAUUGUUGAAUCUUAAACAUUCUUCUCUAACUGAAAUGUGAUUACAAAUAAAUAAGCUACGUUGUCUUUCUGUGAAACCUCAGGAAGCUCCUUCCACUUUUCCAUCCUUCACAGAACAAAGUAAACAGAUUUCAAGUGAAACCCUCAAUGAAAGCCUUUUAAUGAUUUUCAAGAAACUAGAUGGUUUCACAGGCAACACUCUGUGGCUCUUUUAAAACCAAUCACCUCCUAAGAGGCUAACUUCAAAGGAAGCAUCAUAUCAAGGGGAUUUAAAAGAAACCAACAGGAGUAGUCUCCUUAAAUACACAUUAAAAAGACAAUACAAUACAAGGUGCUUUUUUUUUUUUUUUUAAGAUUUUAUGUUUAAAUAAUCUCUACACCCAACAUGGGUCUCAAACAUACAACUCUGAGAUGAAGGUUCCUAUGCUCCACUGACUGAGCACCCGGAACCCCCAGAGUACUCUUAUUUGAAGAAGUGGGUUCACCUCUCGUUCUUCCCCUCAGAAAAUUAAUUAGAAAAGAUUAACCAGGAAAACUGAAAAGGUUGCCUGCUCUCUCUCUUUUGUCUUCCGCUCCUCCCCUACACCUCAAGCCUCUCUGAAUGUGUGUACUUGAAAUCAGGAUUUUUGGAUUGAGUUUUAAAACCAAAGAAGUCAGAAUAAUUUCCCUUGGUAUGCAGAAGAACAGAAAUGAACUGUUUGCAGAAAUGUUUUUUAAAGUUCAUAAUAAAGUUGAAUAGUAACUGCAA